GUAAUUUUAUUGGGUUGUAAAAACAUUGACUAAAGCAUAUUUUGUAAAAAGUAUGGAAGAACAUUCUAAAUGUUUACAACCCUAUAAAAUUAUAAGAAAAAAAGAAAUAUUCAAUUCUUAUGAUUAUAUUUUAUGCUACAACCAUUAAUUUAUAGUUAUUUAGUUAUAUCAAUAUUUUCUUUUGUUUUCCUUUGCAUAAUUGUGACAUUGUUAUGGAGAAAACAAAAAAGGUCUUUAGAUGUCCCAUUUCAUUGAGCCGCCAUGAAUAGCCCAAAAGUGGCGCUAAAAUUGGUGUUAAAACACUAACAAUCAAACAGUAGAUACCACGAAGGACAAUAAUGGAUGACACUAAAAUAUUUUGAUAUGAUUAACCUUUCAGUAUACCAGCACAGACCAUUGUUCAUCUGAAGCUUUAUUAUUGAUCUAAAUUUUGAAUAGGUUGUAAGGACAUUUUUACACUGAAAAAAUAAAGGCUUCAGUAUGCCAUUCCUAUUUCUGUAGCCACAUGACAUGAUACCACUCUACACACUAGCCUUUAAAUAUAUGUACAUAAGAUACAAGUAUAGUUACUUCUGUAGAAACUUUUUCUUAGUGACGUUUAAGGAACUGUAACAUUGUAAGGAAAUAAUUUAUUAGGUUUUAUACGAUAACUAAUUUGCCC
rnacentral:lncRNA from 1 species